AAAAGAUCAUCAGUACACAAAAAAUUUUCAGAUGGGGAAGAGCGUACUUGUAAAUAGACCAAUUUAAAUACCUUCCUUUUGACGAUAAGAGGGAUAUCAUCAUCAUCAUCAUCAACAUCAUCCUCCAGAAUGGGAGAUGCUGAAGCUGGCCGUUUGCGGCUUGGAACACUCUUGGCCAUAGUUGGCUUGGCAGGGAGGGAAGAAGAUGGAGGAGCAGAUUGUUUAGUACGACGAGAAGGAGAAGGGUUCCGAAUAGACAAAGGAG
rnacentral:lncRNA from 1 species